CUCCUUAAAAAGUUAAACUAUUAAUAUUUUCUACCCACAGAUAGCUUUUUCAAAAUAAAUCGGUGUUCACCUUUUUGUGCAGGAUACUGUACCCUAACGUGCUGCAUAGCAUAACACAACGAGAUGGAUUCAAUAUCCUCAAGAGAAGGCAGCGUUCAAACUGUAAAGUUUAACGGAAAGAACUUCAACAUAUGGAAGUACAGUCUGUUCAUCAGACUACGAGAACAUGAUCUAGUUCCCAUUGUAGAAAGAACAAGACCAAGACUAGCAGUGGUCCGAGUAGCUGGAGAAGUCACCAAUCAAGCUCAGAUAGACGCAUGGUCAAAGGAUGAUAACUUGGCUAUCCAUUAUCUUUUUAAUACAUGCCUCGAAGAACAACAAAGUUCAUUGCUGACCUGCAAAACUUCCAACGCUAUAUGGGCAUCAAUCACAAGCCAAUACCAGCGAAACUCUAUUGAGAGGAGGCAUGCUAUCCAACAGCAAUUUCUGAACCUUACCUUCAACGCUGAGCACGGUGUAAGAGCUCACGUGGAAAGAAUAAAACUUCUCUCAAAGGAAUUGACAGAUGCAGGGUGCCCAACAGACGAGGGAAGCAUCUGCAACAAGAUUCUUACAUCCCUGUCAGACGCUUUUGUCGGUUUCUUCACCGCUUGGGAAAGCACUACAGCCGCUGACAGAACUUUGGCAAAUUUAAAGACAAGGCUAUGUAACGAAGAAGAAAGAAACAAACGACGACGUGGAAACGGUAGUAGCAGCUCAGAUAACCAAGCAUUCUGGGGCGGACCACCAAACUCACCCCAAUCUUUUGCUCCCGGUCCCUCUAACCGAAGUUCCUCAAAUAACAAUUCGAGACCCUACCCACCACACACCACAAGGAGGACGGCAAAGACACAGAGGAGGAAGGAGAGGAUCUGGUGGUCGAAACGUUCACUUCGAGUCGUCAAAUCAAGGAAACCCAAGAAGAAAUGGUAACUGCAACUACUGCGACAUUUCCGGCCACUGGGAAAAAGAAUGUCAUUUCAAGAAGCUAGAUGACGCCACGCUAGCGAAUACUCAAGCCAACUCAGCUUUAUACGAGAAGAGAGACCCGACCGCAAAUUUCGUUCAACUAGAACACACACCCUUCACCGGCCCGAUCGUCGGUCUCGUCGCUCACUCAGCAUGUUUAUCAUCUCACGCUCCCCCGAACAGCGAUUUUUAUCUGGACUCAGGCGCCACCCAACACAUGUCCCAUCAACGCUCACUAUUCACUAAUUUUCAACCCAUCCAACCGGGACUAAGAUGGAUAAGUGGAAUUGGACAAAGUCAUGUCGAGAUCCUCGAGACAGGAAACAUCAUUAUCACGUCGUUGGCGGAAGGAGCUCAUCAAACCAUCACUCUUCUCGACGCUCUAUACGCUCCCAGUCUCGGAAUUAACCUAGUCUCCGUUGGAUCUAUCACAGCCAAAGGAGGAGAGAUACGUUUUACCAAAUCUCACGUAAACGUCGUUCGAGAUGGAAACCUGCUACUUACUGGCAAACGCGUCGGCGAAACUCUAUACCGACUCAAUAUUUCUAAUACGAAUACCAGAGAUGCCAACCCACAUCCAGUCGUCGCAUCACUCUCAGCUCUCACGAAAUCAUCUCCUAAUUCCAUUCAAGAGUGGCACCAACGCCUUGCACAUCUAAACUACCAAACGAUUAUCAAAAUGGCACACAGCGACGCAGUAGUCGGGCUCGACCUCCCAACCGGAGCUGAGCUCCCAACAGAGAGCUGUCAUGAUUGCACCGCGGGUAAACUGAAGCGGAAAUCGUUCAACCUAAGCUCCACACCCAAAUUCUCCCGCAUUGGUCAAUUAAUCUCUUGUGACGUAUGGGGCCCUGCCCAAGUCCCAAGUAUCGAAGGAGCUCUGUACUGCUCCAAUUUUUGAGACGGCUGCAGGGACUAUCGAGCCGCAUAUUUCCUCAAGGCAAAGUCGGAGGUUGCCGUAUGGGUCAGAGAUUUUAUCAAUCGACUUCACCCACAGACUCGGGAGCUGGUAUCAUGCAUCCGAACUGACGGAGGAAAGGAAUACGGGUCAAACGAACUCGAGUCGUGGCUUCGAAAGAAAGGAAUCAGACACGAGACCACCAUCCGCCACACACCGCAGCAGAAUGGACUAGCAGAGAGGGAUAACCGCACUUUAUUUCAAGGUGUCAGAACACUCCUCGCCUCCAACAAAUCUCUGCCCAUCAACCUCGGGGCGGAAGCUGCCAAUCACAAGAUUAUAUCCUAAACCAGUCGCUAUCCAGCACCUGCCCCACUAUGACUCCACAGGAAGCCUGGUAUAAUGUAAAACCCGAUCUGUCAACUCUGCGUAUAUUCGGCUCCGAAUUCUACGUGCUGGUGCCAAAACUAAUCAGAGAAGGUAAACUCGAGAACAUCUGACUUCUCGUGUAUUUCGUAGGUAACUCUGAAACACAAAAAGGUGAACGUUACUAUGACCCGUCAUCAAAAAAGGUAAACACAAGCCGCGAUACUACGUCAAUUCAAAGUCACUACCAACCCCAUCUAUCUUCUUCCGAUCCAAUGACCGUGCAAAGCAACGUAGAAGUUUUUCCCCAGAAUGGCGCAUGCAACCACGAUUCGGCGCAUCCAGAAACCGAAUCAUCGACUCUUUCUCAGAAAAAUGAUGCAAUAUGUGAUCUCGAAUAUGCCGCGAACCACGGGCAAGCAACGGACGUCAACCUCGUCAGACCAUCGCCAUCGCUCCCAUAUCAAGACGCACAACAAACUACGCCGACCACACCGCCAGCAAAGAAGCGGAGAUCAGUGCGUAUUCGAACCAUCGAGGAAGAAUCUCAAGUAAUUGGCAGUUCCCCACUUCCAAUCCUUCGUCGCUCCUCCCGUGUGCCACAACCAAAGCACAUCAUCAGCAUGCACGCAGCUUUCACAGUCGAUACUGCUCUCACCCUGGAGGAAGAGCCGGACCAGUACCAGGAUGCCAUGACCAGCAACAAGGUUUCAGAAUGGAAGGCAGCCACCCAGAGGGAAUAAGACUCGCUAAUAAAAAAUCAUACAUGGAACCUCGUGUCGCUUCCCACCAAUCGCUCGCUGAUAUGGGCUCGGUGGACCUUUAAGAUCAAGCCGGCGUUCAAGGCGUCUGAGAAAAUCUACAAAGCCCGCUUCGUCGCUAAGGGCUAUUCUCAAUGUCCUGGCAUCGACUACAAGGAAUCUGAAAUCUACUCUCCUGUAUUAAAACAUGACUAUUUCCGCGUCAUGUACUCCAUUGCCGCGGUCCACGAUCUCGAAUUAUUUCAACUGGACGUAAAGACCGUGUUCCUAUACGGCGAUUUGGACGAGGAGCUAUACGUCGAGCAGACCGAAGGCUUCGUCGAACUCGGUAAAGAAAAUUUAGUCUGUCGCCUACAGAAACACCUAUAUGGUCUCGUCCAGUCGGCAAGGAAAUGGAACGAGAAGUUCGAUUCGUUCAUCACACAGUUCGGCAUGAAACGUUCGAUUUCCGACCCAUGUAUAUAUUUCAACCAAGGCGAAACAACCGAUGAUCUCACCCUGCUAGGCAUCUGGGUGAAUGACGGCAUUUAAGCAACCAAGACAAAAGAAAGGGCUACUGCGAUCAUCCAGUAACUGGAGACAUUCUUCGAGAUGACAUCCAAGCCAGCCAACCUCUUCAUUGGGCUGGAAAUCACCAGGAAACGAGAAGAAAGGAAGAUUUUUAUUCCCCAGCCAAACUACAUCCGAUCUCUCCUACACAAAUUUAAAAUGACAGAUUGCAACCCAAAAAGCGUUCCAGCCGACCCUGGGUCUCGCCUAUCAGUGAUUGAUUGCCCUUUACGCUGUGGCGUAACACCUCUCUCCUCAACUCCAUACCGGUUAGCCGUCGGAGGGCUCAUGUACGCAGCAAAGAAGACACGGCCCGAUAUCCUAUUUGCCGUUACCGCCGCCUCCCGCUAUAACCAAGAUCCCGGAAACGCUCACUGGUCAGCGGUGAAACGAAUCCUUUCUUAUCGGCACAAUCAAUCACGGACUUUUUUACAGCGAGACGGAUUCGGCGGACCUUCUCGUCGCUUACUCCGACUCCGACUUUGCUGGCUACCCGGACACCAGGAGGUCAACCUCCAGGCUAAUUUUCACUUUUAAUGGAGGGCCCGUCUCCUGGACAAGCAACCUACAGAAACCUACCGCUAACUCAACUGCAGAAGCGGAAUAUUACGCGGCAGGACACGCUUCCAGAGAGAUCGCCUGGCUAAGAAGCCUACUGAAAGAAAUAGGUUUCGAACAACUCGCACCUACACCUCUUUUGUGCGACAACAAGAGUAUGAUGCUCAUGGUACAGAAUCCCGUCUUCCAUGAUCGCACAAAACACAUCGAUAUAAAGUACCACUAUGUUCGUCAGCAGUAUAAGCCAAAGUCAUCGAGCUACUAUCCGUUCGUUCCAAAGAUGAAUUGGCAGACUUGCUAACGAAGCCCCUAAAGCCUCAAGAGCUUAGAUUGAAUCGAUCUCGCAUCGGCGUCGUUCCAGUCCCACAAGAUUAGGACGACAUCAACAGAACAUGCGGAUCACAGCAACAACAAAUAAUUUUUUUUUAUUCCUUUUUUUUUUUAUGCCGUGCCACUAUAUUGGAUUAAGGGGAAGUAUCGCCUCAUGUUUUGGUUUGAGGGGAAGUGUUAGAAUUCACACAACAAAACAUAUCUCCGCAUCCCGUUCGUCUUUUUUUCCUCUCCCACCUGACGUCACAAACGUCAAUCGUGCGUUUCUAGUGUCGUCAUCGUUCUGCGUCUUUUGUGCUACACAUCAAGAAACGUUUAUAUACUCUCUCUCCUCUGUCCUUGUUGGGAAGUUAUUCGUCUCUAUUUCUCUCACUCAUACUUUCUCAUCUUGGAUAUAAUUCCCGACUGAUAUUGCAUUUGAGCUGUAUCGAGCAUUUCACCCUCGCUGUGACGAGACGGCACUGAUAGAACCUCUGAUCUACCAAGAGACGCCAUCUCUUACUACGAAAACAAGGAUCAAGUCUUCCCGAAGAAUAUCAAGAUAAAUAGCUUUUUUUCGUCAACUGAAGAAAUUCAAACACAUUGAAAUCGAGAACCGAGCAAUAUCAAAGAUACUACCUAUUCACCAACAAAUACUACCUUAAAGUGUUCGGCUCUUUGUUUUACUAGAACAACCGCUUGAUCUGCUGUUAACUUCAGACCAUCAUGCAUCAAAAAGCAGUUCAACAACCACCUUUCCAACACCCUUAUUAAGUCCAUUCUACCAAAAUAUUGGGAGCAAUUCAAGAAAUUUGAAAAGAACCUUACAGCUUUAAAAGGUCACUACUGUAUUCAGCGAUUCAGCGAUCCAUUAAACCACCCAAGGCCCAAUGUAAAGAUGAAAAAUACCACUUAUCUCAACCAUACCUCUAUGCUUAAUCCAAAUUGGAAAUUAAGACGACGUCACCAACCAUCUCCAAUCGCCGAUUCUUGACCAAGUUUUCGUCAUUCUCAUCGUACUUCCAAACACAAUUUACUAUCACCAACAUGUUCAUCAGCACAAGUGACUCAACAGCCAUCAAGGAAAGAUAUUUAUCCACGGAUAUUUGACCCAUCACGGAAAGGAAAUUCACCCACGGACUAUCGAUCAAUGCAUUUACUGUUUAAAAUGACUUCGCUGACAUCACCAUUCUUUUUCUAAUUCCCUUUACUAUUUUAUUUUUCACAGCAACCUAAGCCUUAAAACUAACUUUAAAGGUCUAAUAUCAAAUUUAGUUUUCAUCGGUGCACACACAAAAAUCAACAAAAAUUAUAUACAAUUAUCCUCCUCCAGACGGAGUGCAUCCCUCAUUAUCCUUCGACUGCCGCGAUGAUGUGCUAAGAAAUAGACAUUGUCCCAGUCACCAUUCUCCCCUUUCUGAGAGCAAGGUGUACUAGGUUUAGACACCCCCUCUCAGCCACAAGAGCUAACGAACUGAAGAAGACGUCUGAAUCCGAAGAGACCACGUCGAGUUCAACGCUCAUGCAUCUACGGACAUUUCAGCCCUGGACCUGCCUAUGUUACAGACGUUUCUGGCAUUACAGAUACCGGGUGGAUCUCCGCAUUCUUGGACCUCUUGAUUCUCGCCGCUGCGGAAAACACGUCCCCUCUUCAAAAAUUCAAAAAAAAAUGUCGCACCUUUGUUUUCCCGAUUCAUAUUUAACCUAUAUCUUUUAUAGAUUGCAGGACGCAAUCUUUCGGCACGGGAUGUUAUGUGAGGAACGGUAAGCCGCGUUCCUUACAUCCCUUUCUCCUUUCCCAAGCUUACAACCCUUUUCCCCUCUUCCGCCGAUAGUUCAUCUACCGAUGGCUCCGGCCUUCAAUCUCCCUUCUACCUGGCCUUCAAACGUGUGAAUUCUCCACAUAGGUGUUACAUUUAAACACAAAAUAUUAAUUCCCUUUGCGACACCUAACCCUAAGUGACCUUGCUCCUUCGUAUAAAUGUUGCCCCUUUCCAGAUUGUCAGUCAGUCUCUCUUGCAGUCUUCUGCAGUCUUCAUCAGCAGUCAGUCUUGUGUCAGUCUUGUGUCAGUCUUGUGCCCUACUUGUGCCAGUCAUGUUCCAGUCGCUUUUCGUUCAUCUUUGAGUCUCUUUGCAGUCUUCGUCAGUAAGUCUCUUUUAAUCGGACUCGUCUUGUUAACUGUUAUCUCGGUCUUUGGCAAAAACUUUGUGCAACAAUAAACUCAUAAUCAUCACACA